AUGCUAUUACUGUCUAUCUCUCAGUUCAGUUCAGUCAUUCAGUUGUGUCUGACUCUUUGUGACCCCAUGGACUGCAGCACGCCGGCCUCCCUGUCCAUCACCAACUCCCGGAGUUCACUCAGACUCACAUCCAUCGAGUCGGUGAUGCCAUCCAGCCAUCUCAUCCUCCGUCUCUGUCUCUCACUGCCUACCAAAUCCAGAAGUUCCAGGUGGAAGAGCUGGGCUUCUAUUGUUCACCAUUCCCAGGGCCUGGCACUGGGUCUGGAACUCAGGUGGCGUCUUAGACUGGAUGCCCCAGCAGCAGAGUCAGAGCUGAGAGUUCUUGUGCAGGUGAGUCUUGAAGGAGGGCUCCCUGGAGAAGGGGAAGGAGGGAAGGAGAGGGCAAGGCCUCAGCUGGAGGUGAGCUUCAGCCUCCUCCAGAGAGUCGGGGAGUCGGGAGUCGUUUCAUCAAGGUCUAUUCUAGGCAGCUUCUUUGUAUCCUUGUAUUAUUCUUAGGCCUCAGCUCCCCCCUGGGUGAGAUUUGCAUUCCUUCUGGACAACGCCCCACCUCCUCUGCUGAGAGCAGGUGUUUAACGCUUUGACGGGGCUCUGGGGGGCAAAUGCAACCCCACUGGAUGCCUCUGCCUCAGCUUUCUGCCAUCCUGCCGGCUGUUUUCUGCUUGUUCAUGGGUUCUGAUACUCCUUGUUUUUCCCCUGAG
rnacentral:lncRNA from 1 species